AAAUUGAAGAGUUUGAUCAUGGCUCAGAUUGAACGCUGGCGGCAGGCCUAACACAUGCAAGUCGAGCGGUAGCACAGAGAGCUUGCUCUCGGGUGACGAGCGGCGGACGGGUGAGUAAUGUCUGGGAAACUGCCUGAUGGAGGGGGAUAACUACUGGAAACGGUAGCUAAUACCGCAUAACGUCGCAAGACCAAAGUGGGGGACCUUCGGGCCUCAUGCCAUCAGAUGUGCCCAGAUGGGAUUAGCUAGUAGGUGGGGUAAUGGCUCACCUAGGCGACGAUCCCUAGCUGGUCUGAGAGGAUGACCAGCCACACUGGAACUGAGACACGGUCCAGACUCCUACGGGAGGCAGCAGUGGGGAAUAUUGCACAAUGGGCGCAAGCCUGAUGCAGCCAUGCCGCGUGUAUGAAGAAGGCCUUCGGGUUGUAAAGUACUUUCAGCGAGGAGGAAGGCGUUAAGGUUAAUAACCUUAGCGAUUGACGUUACUCGCAGAAGAAGCACCGGCUAACUCCGUGCCAGCAGCCGCGGUAAUACGGAGGGUGCAAGCGUUAAUCGGAAUUACUGGGCGUAAAGCGCACGCAGGCGGUCUGUUAAGUCAGAUGUGAAAUCCCCGGGCUCAACCUGGGAACUGCAUUUGAAACUGGCAGGCUUGAGUCUUGUAGAGGGGGGUAGAAUUCCAGGUGUAGCGGUGAAAUGCGUAGAGAUCUGGAGGAAUACCGGUGGCGAAGGCGGCCCCCUGGACAAAGACUGACGCUCAGGUGCGAAAGCGUGGGGAGCAAACAGGAUUAGAUACCCUGGUAGUCCACGCUGUAAACGAUGUCGACUUGGAGGUUGUUCCCUUGAGGAGUGGCUUCCGGAGCUAACGCGUUAAGUCGACCGCCUGGGGAGUACGGCCGCAAGGUUAAAACUCAAAUGAAUUGACGGGGGCCCGCACAAGCGGUGGAGCAUGUGGUUUAAUUCGAUGCAACGCGAAGAACCUUACCUACUCUUGACAUCCAGAGAACUUAGCAGAGAUGCUUUGGUGCCUUCGGGAACUCUGAGACAGGUGCUGCAUGGCUGUCGUCAGCUCGUGUUGUGAAAUGUUGGGUUAAGUCCCGCAACGAGCGCAACCCUUAUCCUUUGUUGCCAGCGGUCCGGCCGGGAACUCAAAGGAGACUGCCAGUGAUAAACUGGAGGAAGGUGGGGAUGACGUCAAGUCAUCAUGGCCCUUACGAGUAGGGCUACACACGUGCUACAAUGGCAUAUACAAAGAGAAGCGACCUCGCGAGAGCAAGCGGACCUCAUAAAGUAUGUCGUAGUCCGGAUUGGAGUCUGCAACUCGACUCCAUGAAGUCGGAAUCGCUAGUAAUCGUAGAUCAGAAUGCUACGGUGAAUACGUUCCCGGGCCUUGUACACACCGCCCGUCACACCAUGGGAGUGGGUUGCAAAAGAAGUAGGUAGCUUAACCUUCGGGAGGGCGCUUACCACUUUGUGAUUCAUGACUGGGGUGAAGUCGUAACAAGGUAACCGUAGGGGAACCUGCGGUUGGAUCACCUCCUUACCUGAAAGAA
rnacentral:rRNA from 1 species